UAUAAAACUUUAUAUUAAAAUUAUAAAGUUUUAAAUAAACAAGGACAAACUAACUAGGACAAAUUAACCCAGUUAGUCUUGAGACUUGUAAAUUACUUACUAGAAGGUUAAAACACCUUAAAUAAAUAACUUAAUGAUAAUGGAGGGACUAAAGGUGUUAAAACUAAAACUAAUAAUAAUAAAAACAAGGUUUAAACACCAAACACACUAAAAGAAGUGUGUCUGGUCGAUCUAAACAUCAGGAGUGAACAGGAGCUUCCCCACCAAACCCUAACUUGUGCAAAUUGAUCAAAUUGGGGCUUCAAAUCAGUUCCAAAUCGAUUUCCAAGCACGAAAUUGUCAUCUCCAUUGAAAGGGGAGUCAUAAGGUAUGUAAAUUUUAUGAAAAAUCUCUAGUUGGAUUUCUAGGUAAACUUAGAAAUCUGAAAUUGAUGGUUGCAUGUUCGUUAUAUGAUGAAAUUAGGAAUGAUUUUAUGUCUAGGAGUAAACCCUAGUCAUUUACUUGUUGAAUUGAUGUUCCUAAUUGUGAAUUCAUGAUCACCCGAUUAUGUGCUAAAUGGGUUUUGUAGAAACAUGAUGAACACUAGAAUCAUAAUGGUUAAAUUGUGUUAAUAGAACUCCCUGAAGUUAGAUUUGAAGUUUGAUGUUAGUACUUGUUAAUUUUGCUAGAAUUUAAGGGUUUAGAACACUUAAAUGGGCUGGAGAAAUUUGAUGUUUCGUGUUGCACACAAGGCCGAGUAA
rnacentral:lncRNA from 1 species